rnacentral:snoRNA from 1 species
GCGCAGUGAUGAACAUCUGAAAUCUGUCAAUCCCCUGAAGCCAGUGAUGUCAAGCUGUUUCUGAGCGC